rnacentral:rRNA from 1 species
UGGGGAAUAUUGGACAAUGGGCGCAAGCCUGAGCCAGCCAUGCCGCGUGAGUGACGAAGGUCUUCGGAUUGUAAAGCUCUUUUGCCAGGGACGAUAAUGACGGUACCUGGAGAAUAAGCCCCGGCUAACUUCGUGCCAGCAGCCGCGGUAAUACGAAGGGGGCUAGCGUUGUUCGGAAUUACUGGGCGUAAAGCGCACGUAGGUGGCGACGUAAGUCGGGUGUGAAAGCCCCGGGCUCAACCUGGGAACUGCAUUCGAGACUGCAUUGCUGGAGUACGGAAGAGGAGGGCGGAAUUCCCGGUGUAGCGGUGAAAUGCGUAGAUAUCGGGAGGAACAUCAGUGGCGAAGGCGGCCCUCUGGUCCAGUACUGACACUCAAGUGCGAAAGCGUGGGGAGCAAACAGGAUUAGAUACCCAGGUAGUCCCUGAGCGGGCUGGCAAGGCGCAU